UUUUUCUACAGGGUGUAUUUGUGGUGCCAAAGAAGAAAGUAUGCAGCUACUUGAGAAUAGAGAACUCUUGCAAGUAAACCUGGAGAGUAAGGAUUCAGAGUGGAAUGGCAGUCUAUUCACUGAUUCUUUGCUGGAAAGAGAGAUCCUGCUGUUUAUGGACAGCCAUGAAUGAGGGAAAAAGUUGAAGUGUGAAGCCUGAUGGUGAGCCUAGACUGAGCAGACACCAAAUUGAACAGAAAGCAAUGUGAUUUUUCAGAAAUGAG
rnacentral:lncRNA from 1 species